rnacentral:rRNA from 1 species
UACGUAGGUGGCAAGCGUUGUCCGGAUUUACUGGGUGUAAAGGGCGCGCAGGCGGGAGAGCAAGUCAGAUGUGAAAUCUAUGGGCUUAACCCAUAAACUGCAUUUGAAACUGUUUUUCUUGAGUGAUGGAGAGGCAAGCGGAAUUCCUAGUGUAGCGGUGAAAUGCGUAGAUAUUAGGAGGAACACCAGUGGCGAAGGCGGCUUGCUGGACAUUAACUGACGCUGAGGCGCGAAAGCGUGGGGAGCAAACAGG